rnacentral:rRNA from 1 species
UACAGAGGUCCCGAGCGUUGUUCGGAUUCAUUGGGCGUAAAGGGUGCGUAGGUGGCGCUGUAAGUGGGGUGUGAAAUCCCGGGGCUUAACUCCGGAACUGCAUUCCAUACUGCGGUGCUUGAGGACUGGAGAGGAGACUGGAAUUUACGGUGUAGCAGUGAAAUGCGUAGAGAUCAUGAGGAAGACCAGUGGCGAAGGCGGGUCUCUGGACAGUUCCUGACACUGAGACACGAAGGCCAGGGGAGCAAACGGG